AGAUUCGCAGAUCUAUUUUGGGACCUAACAUGUGUGUGUACGUGUAUAUGCAUUUAUGUGCAUAUCUACAGAUUUGAAAUUAAGUUCAGGAUCUCCAAUGUGUAAGCAGUGAAAAGAAUCUAUGCAUCCAAGAAGUAUCCAGUUGCUGUGACCAAGUCUUCCUUUCCUCUCCAGAAGCAGACCAGCAGGCGAGGAGAUGAGGAAAGCAAGCAGACGGACUAGGACUAUGGAACAACGUGGCAGAGAAAGAGGGAAGAGGAGGGACAUCCGGUUGCCGAGAGGAGUUCAGCUGGGGUCAGAGAGGAGUCCGGAUGCUGGGCAGCCCGGCUCCAAAAAAAGAUCACCUUCCCUUCCAGCUCCCCAUCCAUCUCGCUGAAAGCCAUUUCCACCACUCAAUAAAA